rfam:Trypanosoma cruzi marinkellei strain B7 TcMARK_CONTIG_15917, whole genome shotgun sequence.
GGGCACGACCACACUUGGCCGUACGCGCCACAUCCCGUCCGAUUUGCGAGGUUAAGCGGCCACAGGCCCCGUUAGGGCGGCGAUCGGUGACGGCGCUGGAACCCACGGUGCCGCACCCU